UUUUUUUUCUCUUUUGAAUAAUCUAGAGUUACCUAUUCAACUGCAUACAGAUUAGAGUUCAUGGAUGCUUGUACUAUGCUGAAUGACUUCAUAUUUAGUCAGCAGCUCGAAAAUGAUAAGUUUAACAUUACGUGUAGGCAAAUUUCAAUAAGUUUCAUAUUGCUUCUGAUGGUUUGUUCUAAUGAGCACAAAAUAUGUCUGACACAUGCGCACGAACUUACUGGGUAUAUUAACGUUAUUUCCAUCGUUAUCCUUUUAAAUAUAUACAUUUAAGCAGCUAGCAUAAACUUUUAUUAUAUAUUUUCAUAAAACAACAUAUAUUUACCCUGCUCGUAGUUUCUAAACUUAUCAAAUAUGAAAUGUAAUGCACAGACUCCUCGGGGAGGAAACGGGAAAAGCCAAACAUUUUUAUGUAGACGAAACGCGCGUCUGGCGUACUAAAUUAUAAUCCUGGUACCUUUGAUAACUAUUUACACCACUGGGUCGAUGCCACUGCUGGUGGACGUUUCGUCCCCGAGGGUAUCACCAGC
rnacentral:lncRNA from 1 species